GGGGAACCAAAGCCCGAGUUCCCCAGCUGCAGAGGGCUUGGAGACCUGGGGCCUCGGGGAGCGGGCACUUGGCCCCUCACUCCCAGGAGGUGGGAGGUCCCUUCCUUCUGCCCCAGCGGUAGGGGUCGGGGGUUGGGCUGAGGCUGUCCGUGCCUGCCAGCCCUGGACACCCUGAGAGCCUGCCAGGGCUGCCUGCCCAGAGACUGGCAGAGCCUCAGGAAUGAAAAAGCGAUAGGCCGUCCACCCACCACUGAUGCUUGAAUUCCAAGGACCUGCUCCCUGUCUUUGGGGCAGGGGUUGGGGGACUCAAGACAAACCAACUGCAGUUUGCAUCUCUCGCCCUAGAAAUGAGGGCAUCUGCCCCAGACGCUGAGGUCUCGCCCUCCCCCCACGUCCCCUUCCUUUCAUCCCACCCCUCCCCACCUCCCAGACACCAGACAUGGUUGUCUUCCACCUCCAGACGCCAGAUGGCUCCCUCUCUUUGCCUUUACCCCUCCAGACGGUCCGGGCCCCUCCCCUUGCGAGUCCGAGGUUCCAAGCCCCAGCCUCAGCCCGCGCUGACCCGGCCUCCCAGCUCUCUUAGGGAUUGCCGGCCAAGCCCCGCUCAGGAUGCUGGAGGGAUGCACCCUUCACCACUGCGGGCCUCACCCCUGUGUUCCCUGCCUGACAGCCCUGGACCUGGGCCAAGCAUCCCCGGCCUCCUGGGGUGUCCAGGGAGGGCCCUGCUGGCCCCAGUGGGAGCCUUCCUGACCUCUGCUCCAGGUCAACAGCAGCUGCUGCCCGCCCUUCACCCGUAUCCCCAUCAUGCUGUGGCUGAGAGGCGGGCAGGGCUUGGAGGAACUGGGGAGGAGGCCCCCAGCCCUGGCACACUGGCAUGAAGGGCCAGCAGGGCGAUGCUGUCUGCACGGGCUGGGCCUGCACGGCCGUGUCUCUCCGCGUUCAGAGCUGAGAGAGGGCCCUGCCCGGGGAUGGGCACAGGCCUGGGGGGCGGACCCAGGGUUUUCCAGGCCUCAGUCGGUCUCUGAAGCAGGAGCAGAGUGAUCUGCUCCAAUACCUGGGGGAGGAGUCUGGGAGGGCCGUGCAUCUCUCCAGGGGACCGGAUGAGCCCAGAACCAGAGCCAACUGGUCAGCGGGUCCUGGAGCGGGGUUUGGAAUGGCCCGGGCCAGACUCAGCCCUGCCUCUGGGGGUGGGCUCCCUGGAUGAGGGCACCCGUCCAGGGAGUGGAGACUCGGGGCCACGUCCGGCUGCACCUGCCAUCUCCCGGCUGGGGGCAGGGGGCUCUGGCCACCCCCACUGGCACUGCUGCCCUGGAGGAGGAUGGCUGUGACCCUUCUUGGCAGCCAGCAGGGUGCUUGCGUCAUCUG
rnacentral:lncRNA from 1 species